rnacentral:rRNA from 1 species
UGACCUCGGAUCAGGUAGGCAUACCCGCUGAACUUAAGCAUAUCAAUAAGCGGAGGAAAGGGCGACACGCGAAUUCGAUAUCGCGGCCGCCUGCAGUCAAUACUGACGAUGGUAAGCUCUGUUUUC